UACGGGGGGCAAGCGUUGUUCGGAAUUACUGGGCGUAAAGGGUUCGUAGGUGCCAACUAAGUCAGACGUGAAAUCCCUCAGCUUAACUGGGGGAACUGCGUCUGAUACUGGUUGGCUUGAGUGCAGGAGAGGAACGCGGAAUUCCAGGUGUAGCGGGUGAAAUGCGUAGAUAUCUGGGAGGAACACCAGUGGCGAAGGCGGCAUCCUGGACCGGUAUUGACGCUGAGGCGCGAAAGCUAGGGUAGCAAACGGG
rnacentral:rRNA from 1 species